GCCAUUAUGUAGAGUUUAUUUUUCUGAAAAUAUUAAUGCAUCAUACAUUUAUAUCCUAUAGUUUCUAAGUAAUAGCAGUUUUAAAUUAUACUAAUCCGGGUGAAAAUCCAUGUAACGCGGUUAAGUUACUCCCUAGAUAACAUUGAUUUUCACAUGCAUGGAUUUGUAGAAUUUAAAACGGUUGUUAUUUAGAAACUUUCAAAAAAAAAUAAUAAGUU